rnacentral:lncRNA from 1 species
CUUUUCUCUCAUAUUUCCUGUGUUUUUCUACUCUUUAGGAAGAUUUUCUCAACUUUAUCAUAUGGCCCUUCCAUUGAAUUUUUAAUACUGCCAGUCAUAUGGCUGACACUGUAGUGUAGGGAGAUGGGUGGUAACAAAAUCGUAAGUAAAUGAUAAGUCCCAGGGUGAUGGCUUUUAGUCCUGGUGUGUGUGUAUGUGUGUACAUGUGUGCAUGCGUGCAUAUGUGUGCACAUAAUUUUAAACAAGGUGGUCUCUGAAGGCUGAGGAGGCGACAUUUGAGAAAAAGCUUGAUGGAGGUGAGGGAGGAGCCAUGUGGCCUUCUAAGAGAGAAAGUUCCAGCCAAAAGUACAGUAAGUGGAAGAGCCACAGGCAGAAGUGCACCUAAGAUGUUCUAGAACUAGCAGGUUGUCCGCCGUGCCCGCAAUGGAGCGAGGGAGAUGGCUUGGGGCCUCCUGGGCCACUGGAAUACUUUGGCUUUCCCCGAGCCUUCGGAGGAUGUUGCACCACGGAGCCAUCUGCUCAGGCUCGUGUUUUCACGGGAUCCCUGGGAGCUGUGUUAGAGGUAAGUGGGGCCCAGUGUAGCAGGAGCCCCAUUGCAGGUAAGCAGGGCCCGGUGUGGUGGGAGCGAGUGGUGCUGCUUGGCCAGCACAGUAGAGGGGUGUAGGUGGGAGGGGUAUAGUCGACGCGACUGUGUAUAGAUGGGUGAGCGGUGAGCGAGAAGCAGGGAUGACACCAGGCACUUGGGCUGCUGGUCACUGAGGUGAGGAAAGAGCCAGUGUGGGUGGGAAGCUCAGAUUAAACUUGGAGCUGUGGAAAUGCCUGGCCAUCCAAGUGGAGUGUGGAUAGUUGGAGUCUCGUUUUGGGUUCAGGGCAUGUUGAGCUGGAGGAAUACGAAUGUACACGUGGAGGUGGGCAGCUGCUGAGAUGAGACUGGAAGUGAGUGUUGGCAUGCUCUGGGCCAUGUGGACUUUGCCUGCGAGCGGUCUGGUUGUGGUAGAUGUCACUGAUGUGGACCAUGAUGCUGCGCGAGAAGUGCCUGGGGUCCCACCAUGGUGACUGUGUCUCAGGUCUCUAAGUUACACCCAAAUAUUUGUACAAAUACGUAAUUUAGGAAAUGAAAAUUGGGAAUCAGCUCAACCAUGGAGACGGCCAUCGGUCUUUGCCAUAUCAGUGAGUGGGUGUUUCUUUGCUCAGUCAACAAGUACUAACAUCACAUUGUGUGCUCCUCGGACACCCGAUGAUGGAGGAGGAAUGGCUCUGGGUGUAGGGCCACAUGGUCAGCAACUGAGCUAGACAGUGGGCUGUGGUGUCCCUGGGUUGGGGUGAGACCCUGAGCAGAGGUGGGGAGGUGAGGACGAGGCAGGAGGGCCUCUGAGCACUGCGCUCUACGUAGCUGGGCAGUGAGCAGGGAGCACCCCAUGGCCCUCCCUGGAGCUAAGACCAGUGUGACCUGGGGGUGGGUAGCUGGGAGAUGAAGCCCAGCCCAUGGGCCAGAGCAGGCAGGAGUGGGUUGCUGGGGGCAUCAGGGCCCAGUCAGCGGAGGAGGUAGUGCAGGGAUCCUCACUGCCUUGUGAGUCCUGAACCCUUUUGAGAAUCUAAAGUCAAAGCAUGUUAUGCUAUUUCAUCAUUAUUAUUACUUAUUUUUAGAGCUUUCAUGGAGAUAUACAGCCGUAUAGAAAUACACUUAAAGUUUCCUUUUCUCUUAUAGUCUUGACCUGGUUUCAGUAUCCCAGCAGGAGCGUUUGUGAUAUGGUUCUGUUUAUCUUGACAAGGUUGCGACCAGUCCUUGGCAUUUGGCCGUGAGCAGAGC